AGAUCAACACUGCCUAUAUUUUUAGGAUAAACAGAAUUUACUCUAUGAUUAUUUGAAAGAAAAAGGAUCCAAACCUAAGAGCUUUAAGAAAUGUUAAAAAUACUGUUUCCAGCAGUAUUCUAAUAUGGCUUUGAGCGUACCUGUUACUUUAAGCCCUUGAACUUUUCUGAAUAACACUGCACUUAAGCUGAUCCAUUUUCCUUUCCUUCAGUAAGGAAGAGGUAAAUUAUUAAUGGUGUUUAGUAUCAGGAAAAUACUUAUUUUGCUUGCCAAUACUUUCUUUUAUGCCUUGCAUUUCAGAAGGAGACAGCUAUUACUGUGACGAUUUUUGCGUUCCAAUGAAUCUACAAGAAAUAGAAGGAAUAAACAAACAGGAUCAGAUCCCUGAUUCUUCGUUUCAAGCACCAUCUAGAAACUGUUGAACAGUUUAAAUUGCCAACUGCUUGAGGAGUGAAUCUCUCUUGUGGUAUCACAAGGCACGAUAUUUUUUGAAAAGUGAAUAUAUACAACCAGGGUCCUUGGUUUCUCAACCUCGUAGUUAGAAAUCCUAAUGAAACUAGAAUCAGGGUUAGCUAUUUUAUAUAAAACCGUCACCUUCCUCAAGAAAGUAUAGAAAGUUUUAGUAGGUGGAGAGUGGUUCGUUGGUGUGAAAAAUCUUAUAUAAUGCUGAGUAAUACCUGACCAUUCCAGGAAUUUUUUAAUGUGUAUCCACACUAAAAUGGUACUUCCAUGUUUGAAGACGAGUUGGCUACAGCAGGGCCAUGUUCUUGCUUCUGAGACUGUGAUGGAGAGGUGACCCUAAGAAUUGCUGACUUACUGUGUUUAGACAAAUGAAAUUUUAAUCUAUUUUUUUAUUAUUAUUCCAAUGUCUCUAACCCUACAUUAAUUUUUUUUAUUUUUUAUUUUUUUUUUUUAAUUCAUAUAUCCAGGUAUUGUUUUAGGUUACCUUGACCCUUAACAUGUGUGAAUAUGACUCUGGUAAAAGCCUGAAGCACACAGAUAUAUCUGAGGUGGUUUGUUUGUUUGGCUGGGGUUUUUUUGGUAUUUUGGUUUUUUUGGGUUUUUUGUUUUGUUUUGUUUUUUUGGUUUUUUUAUUUUUUAUUUUUUUAACAGACUCUGAAAGUGUUUCAAAAGCCUGUGGAUUUUAUGCAGACUUUUGACUUCCCUGUAAUUUUAAUUAGGCUUUCUGUAUGGCUUUUGUGCUAGAAAGGUAUGUGAGAUUUAAAGUGCAUAUAUGAAUUGUACUUCUGUGUGCUGAGGGGCUUUGCAGUGUUCUGCUAUUGAUGAAGUAGCUUGAACUAUGCCAACCCUUACUUUAACAGUGACUUCUUCAAAAUUUGCUAGUGUUUACUGACUUACAGUAGCUCUUAUGUCAUUAGGAAGUAAGUCUCCCUUAUAUUCAGAAAACAAAAUAGUUCAUAAUUGUGAACAUAAUUCAUGUCUGGCAAACUUUAAAUGGCUGUUCCUGUAGAUGCUGCAGGUGUAUCUUUGCUGAUGCAAAAUAACCAAGUUUAGUAAAAUGUAAGCUUUGUCAUCUUUAUCACACAUGUUAAUAAAGUUAUGUUUUAAGCAAUAGAAAAAAAUGUUACUUCUCAACAUAAAAUAUUUUUCUUACUGAAAAUGUUCCACUUCUGGGAAUUGCGGAGGGGUGUGUAAAUCCAUUUCUAAAUACAGAACAGAUUGAAGACCCCAAACUGGCUGUGAUAAACAUGUUCAUGUAAUUUUGUUACCUAUUCUAAGGUACAAGCUGAAUAAAAAACUCAACAAAAAACAUAA